UACGUAGGGGGCAAGCGUUGUCCGGAUUCAUUGGGCGUAAAGAGCGUGUAGGCGGCCAGGUAGGUCGGUUGUGAAAACUGGAGGCUCAACCUUCAGACGUCGACCGAAACCAUCUGGCUAGAGUCCGGGAGAGGAGAGUGGAAUUCCUGGUGUAGCGGUGAAAUGCGUAGAUAUCUGGAGGAACACCGGUGGCGAAGGCGGCAUCCUGGACCAACACUGACGCUGAGGAGCGAAAGCCAGGGGAGCAAACGGG
rnacentral:rRNA from 1 species